UUUUCAGAUAAAAUUCAGAAAGUUAACUCCUCCAGAAUCUGAAGAUCAAUGCAAGAAUUAUGCCGAAAAAUUUCAAGAAAAAUAAAGGAAAGAAUUCAUCAUCCGGAAAGGAUUUACACUUAUUCAAGAUAAUUUGGACUAUUGAAAUAAUUUUGAAUUUUAAUUGAUAAAUUUUGUUGUAAAAUUUAAGCAUUAAUAAAUAAAAUAUAGCAUUAAAA